UACGGGGGGGGCAAGCGUUGUUCGGAAUUACUGGGCGUAAAGGGCUUGUAGGUGGCCAACUAAGUCAGACGUGAAAUCCCUCAGCUUAACUGGGGAACUGCGUCUGAUACUGGAUGGCUUGAGUUUGGGAGAGGGAUGCAGAAUUCCAGGUGUAGCGGUGAAAUGCGUAGAUAUCUGGAGGAAUACCGGUGGCGAAGGCGGCAUCCUGGACCGACAUUGACGCUGAGGAGCGAAAGCCAGGGGAGCAAACGGG
rnacentral:rRNA from 1 species